GCUGACUCUCUUUUCAGACUCAGCCAGCCUGCACCCAGGUGAAAUAAACAGCCAUGUUGCUCACGCAAAGCCUGUUUGGUGGUCUCUUCAAACAGACGUGCAUGAAAUUUGGUGCCCUGACUCGGAUCGGGGGACCUCCCUUGGGAGAUCAAUCCCCUGUACUUCUGUUCUUUGCUCCAUGAGAAAGAUCCACCUAUGACCUCAGGUCCUCAGACCAACCAGCCCAAGGAACAUCUCACCAAUUUUAAAUCAGUUUUUCAAGUGGUACCUGAGAUUCAGCACUUCUAAAAAGCUCCAAGGUGAUGAAGGUGCUGCUAGUUGGAGGCCAUACUUUGAGUUGCCAGAUGCUAAAAAUUCAACAGAUGGGAGUAGGAUUUAAUGGCAUCAAGAUUACAGCAAGAGUGUCGUCAAUGUCUGAGAGAAAAGGCACAGGACAAUUCAUGUAAUCUACUUUUUACCUCCUCACUAUGCCAGCAGCACACUUGGAGAGGAAUGUUAUAAUGGAAGAAGCUGCCCAGUCACUGAUUAAAAUGUAAGAAACUGUGCUCCAUUGCAGACAUCUCCUGUUAUGCGUUCAUGAGCAUAUAUGUGUUCUAGUAUGUGUAACCUUUAAGACAAUGAUGGAAUUUGAACCAUACUUUAGGACUGACACAGGUAAGAGAGUCUUGUAUUAAUAAGCUUCAAAAUAUUUUAUUGUAACUUAAAUUACCUCAGCAAUGAUACUGGGGUAGUCAGAAAAAAAAUUCACCUAAUUUUGAACUGAUUUUUUUUAAACUUUAGUAGCUUUGUGUUAGACAGAUAAUGUAAUCUGAGUUUCAAUUAACUUAUUUAUGGUAUGGUAGUAAAACUACCCUCUACACAGUGCUCUUGAUAGAGUUUUUAGAUAUAAAUAGUUUCUGUGGUGGAAGGAUUUGUUUUGCCAGUUGAGUCACAUGUAAUGUUUGACAAACAUAAGAAGAUAUUUGAGAUGAAAAAAUGAUGUUAUAUAAAGGCACAGAAAGAGAAAAUACAAGUUUGAUUGAAGUAGAGGGCUUAUAAAAGGAAAAUAAGUGUUAAAAGUGAGCUUUGGGGCAGAUUGUGGAGUGCUUCAUACAGAUUGGGAUCUAUAGGAGUCUAACUGGCUACUAGACUUCUUGAGACAUAAAAUGAUUGAUUUAACUGGAAGCAAUAUGCAUGUUAGAAGGGAGAAAAAACUUCUAACGGAGGUAGCAGUUCAAUUAGGAAG